ACACCACGACAGAAGCCAGAGCGAACGGAAACACCGUGCACUGUGUAUGUAAUUUACACAGCUAAGAAGUGCAACUUGUUGCUUCCAGUGGAGAUCCUUGUCAGGCCUGCCAUCAGCAUGUGACACCCUCUGACAACUCCUCGGCUCUCAGUCCUCUGGCCAGAUCCAUAGCAGCUGCCUGAAUGUAUACAGAAUUGGCAAAAAGCACUGUAGAGUAGUAAGCAUGUUGGAAUUGGGCCUAUGGGAUCCGGGUUCACAUCCCUGGUCAGCUGUGUCGCAUGACUUCCAAUUUGUGAGCAGGGCAAACUGGAGGAUAAUGAAAGGAAAGGAACAAUUACAAUGCUUGAAGUGCCCAUAACCUCUGCAGGCAGAUGCACAAGCGAGUAAGUGCUGUUUCCAGGGUUUAUCUAGCAACAACGAUGCCUUCACAACCGUCCCUCCAAAACUCAUCAGGCUAAGACAUCUUAAUGCUGCUGCUUAAACAUUUCAUUUGGGAUGAACUGAACUAGCCUCUCUGCUUUUGUUGGUAUUCUA